rnacentral:lncRNA from 1 species
CAAAAUGUGAAACUUAAAGCUACAGGAAUAAAUAUUCAUAUAUAUAAAAUGUGCUUUUUUCAGUGUUUGUUGUGCGCUCAACAUGUCCUCAGAUCUCUGACUGGAGUUCUGUUCGUCGGGUCCUUUGCUCCGGAAGAUGUCUGAUAUAACUCCAUCCGUUUAUAAGAAGUGUGAGUGAAACAAUCCUUUAAACAAAGCUGUGAAGCAUAUUUAUCCACAAUAUAUGGGAUGAAACUUUGACUGAUAUGUUUUUCUUUCUUUGGGUUUGCGACGGAUCUGUUACACAUCUUUCCUUCGUGUUCACUUUUACAUCCACCUCUCUCAUCUGUGCCACAUCCCUCAGAGAGCUCCUUUAACAACUGCUCAGUAGUUUGAAAAGCUUUGGUGGCUAAAGAAAAUGACCUGCAGAGAUUUCUUUCCAAAGCUUUACCUGAAGUGACAGGUCUGCUUUCUAAAAGCGGAGAACACAACGUGACAAGGCAGCUUUCAAAGGACACUCGGGAGAAAUGUCAGGCGACGGAGGAGAGGCCAGAGCUGGGAGGAGAGGCCAGAGCUGGGAGAGGCCUCCGGUGACGUCGGGUCACAGGCUGUCUCUCAGGACGACACGUGUCGGAGACCUGGAGGAGAAGAUCUGCAGCACGUGGAGACUCUGCACAGCCGGACGGAGAAGACUGACAGGCGGGUGACUGUGACGAGGAGGCGUCUUCCUGCAGAGGCCGAUUACAGACACUUUGAAACAAGCAGACGACACCUGAAGCAGAACAUUUCCCUUGUCAAUUAGAUUUUCUCAUCGGACUCGGACACACACACACACACACACACACACACACACACACACACACACACACACACACACACACACAGGGCCUGAUAGAAAGCGUUGUGCCGUGACGGCCCUGUGAUAAUCUGCUAGUCUGUGAUGUGCUGCAGAUUAAACUCCAUCAAACACAGUUUUAAUUGAGAAAAUGUUUUUACAAGCGUUUAGCUGGAAAUAAAUCUUUAUGUAACAUUAACAUUUAAAGGAAUAACCACACUGUGAUGUGUAAAGAUAUCUGUGGUCAACACUACGUUUGGUUUACAGUAAAGUGAUAUUUUGAGUCACUGUCACCUAAAUGAUUUAGAUAAACGUUUAUUUUAUGUUUUCCAACAGCAACAGUUAUAAACCGACAGAUUGUAGAUGAAACUAUCCAAUAAAGUGUUAAGUUAACAAUAAAGUGAUGCUUCAUGCAUCUGUAAUGUCCCAUAAUGUUCUCUAACUCUCUACACUUUGUUUCUCACUUUGUCUGUAUGAGGCCCGAAGCUUCAGUUCAGACGUCACAACAAGACACGUAAAACAUAAACUCAAUAUGAAAGUAAUAAAUUAAAUCUGGUUGUUUCUUGAUGUGGU